UCAGCGGGUAACACGGAGGCUGGCUGCAAGAUUCAUUUCCUCCUCCUCCGCCGCCAUUUUGUGUCGGAUUCGCUACGAAGAAGCAGCAGCGCGGAGGGGAAAAAGGGGGAAUCAGCCAAGAGCGGGAAACUGAGUGCGUGUGACCGAGCAAGAACCGCGGGGAUACAGGACCGAACCGCACACAAGAAAACCAACGACGACAUAGCAUUCGCCGGUAACUUUCCUGAGCGGACGGUGAGGACAGCAGCCCGGGCUGCAGGUCACAAUGACCAACGAAGAACCACUUCCAAAAAAGGUUCGGCUCAGUGAAGCAGAUUUUAAAGUCUUGCCAAGGGAAGAACUCCUUCAAAGAUGGAAGCAAUAUGAAGCUUAUGUUCAAGCUCUUGAGAACAAGUACACUGAUCUGAAUUCUAAUGAUGUAACCGGCCUUCGAGAAUCUGAAGAGAAACUAAAACAGCAGCAGCAGGAGUCCGCCAGAAGGGAGAACAUAUUAGUCAUGCGAUUGGCCACUAAGGAGCAGGAGAUGCAGGAAUGCACGAACCAGAUUCAGCAUCUCAAGCAAGUCCAGCAGCCAAGUGUUGCCCAGCUGAGAACAACUUUGGUUGACCCAGCCAUCAACUUGUUUUUCCUCAAAAUGAAAGGUGAACUGGAACAGACUAAAGACAAACUGGAACAAGCCCAAAAUGAACUGAGUGCCUGGAAAUUUACGCCUGAUAGGUAAACAAACCAAAUACUCCCCAGUCAAGACUUCCCUGACAAUCCCACUGCGAGAGUGCUAUGGUGGGAUGGCCAAGUACUCGUUUUGCACACCAAGACUCAGACUCUGUGAGCCAAAAAAAGCCACUUUCUUACACUGUCCAGCUUGUAAUGCUUAAUGUAAAACUUAUCAGAUGAACCUUGUAUUUCAGCUUUUUAUUUUCCUCCCUUCAUUUGCUUCAGAGGCCUGAGAGCAUCGGACUAUUCCGAAGAAGAGGCCGCAUCCGGCAGUGUCCCCAUUUUCUAGAACACUUAGACACUUUCAAAAAUGGUUCUGAUUGAAGAAAAUACAGGCAGAAAAAACGAGUCUGGCACAUUGUGUCAGUGUCCAUUUAUGGAGGAGAGAACUUAGUUUUGGGGGUUUUCUUUUUCUUUUUUCUUUUUUUUUCCUUUUGCCAUAAAUCAUGUAAUUGAACAUGUAAAAUUACCGUAAAAGGUGGAAUGUUCAUUGCUCUUUACAAUGAGCCUAAUGACUUAUAGACAUUUUAAGCCCGCAUAUUCAAGUAAGACUCUGGACUUCAUGAUUGUUCAAUGAACUGCUGAGCCCAAUCUGAAACUUGAGGUGAUCUUUGUUUUUAAGGGGUUGCCUAUUGAUAGUUUUUGACACAAUAUCCUGACACCAGAGUAGUGUUUGCUUUUGAACAACCAGCUACCAUUUAUUGUGCUUUAUAGCAAGGCUGGUAUUUGUUUAAAGGGCACUUAUCUGAUGUGUGGUAUUCCUACGGGCACAAAAUAUGGAGUUUUAUGCACCUCCAUGUGAAAUGAGCUUGGCUGAGGAAUCAUGUCAUGCAAUGUGACUGUUAUUGCAAGGGUUAGCAAAUAACUGCAGCAAAGAAGCAAGUCAAUUAGAUCGGAAAUAACAUGGCAUACAUUUCUACAGAAAUAUUAGGCCUGCUGGUAUUACCAUCUUGUGCGCUUUUCUUUAGACGUUUUAGUACUGUUUUUUUUUUUUUUUUGGUAUUUUGUGUGCUUUUCUGCUUCAGAUGCUGCCAAGAAAGACAAUUGGCAAAAAUGCACUUUAAGUUCGUUUGCCACAAAAGAGUUACAUUUAAAAAAAAUUCCCCCCUUGGAUUGCACAAACUUUUUUUCUGGUGCAUUGCCAGGAAUUUAAGGGAUUGUUAUGAUCUAAUCAAAUAUCUUCUGUGAAGAUCUCGGUUACCUGAAAUCAGUGUUUUUCCUGUGUUUUUUUAGAGAUAUAUACCAGCCAAACAGGCAAAAAACUAAUGGCGAAGUGUCGAAUGCUUAUCCAGGAGAAUCAAGAGCUGGGAAGGCAGCUGUCCCAAGGUCGUAUUGCUCAACUUGAGGCAGAGUUGGCUUUGCAGAAGAAAUAUAGUGAGG